GAGUUUGAUCAUGGCUCAGGACGAACGCUGGCGGCGUGCCUAAUACAUGCAAGUCGAACGAGGUGCUCCUCGGUGGCAACACCUUGGGGUUACCUAGUGGCGAACGGGUGAGUAACACGUGAGGAACCUGCCCCGAAGACCGGGAGUAACCAGAGGAAACCCUACGGCUAAUACCGGAUGCCCCCACCCGGAUCGCAUGGUCUGGUGAGGAAUAGGAUUCCGCUUCGGGAGGGCCUCGCGGCCUAUCAGCUUGUUGGUGGGGUAACGGCCUACCAAGGCGUCGACGGGUAGCUGGUCUGAGAGGACGAUCAGCCACACUGGGACUGAGACACGGCCCAGACUCCUACGGGAGGCAGCAGUAGGGAAUCUUGCGCAAUGGGCGAAAGCCUGACGCAGCAACGCCGCGUGCGGGAUGAAGGCC
rnacentral:rRNA from 1 species